AACGUAGGGUGCGAGCGUUGUCCGGAAUUAUUGGGCGUAAAGAGCUUGUAGGCGGUUUGUCGCGUCUGCCGUGAAAAUCCGGGGCUCAACCCCGGACUUGCGGUGGGUACGGGCAGACUAGAGUGUGGUAGGGGAGACUGGAAUUCCUGGUGUAGCGGUGAAAUGCGCAGAUAUCAGGAGGAACACCGAUGGCGAAGGCAGGUCUCUGGGCCACUACUGACGCUGAGAAGCGAAAGCGUGGGGAGCGAACAGG
rnacentral:rRNA from 1 species